rnacentral:rRNA from 1 species
GGGGGGGGGGGGGGGGGUGGGGGAGGGGGGCAGGGCGGAGGGAAGGGCCGGCGUUGCCUUGUGGGUUGCGGGUACUCGAGCGGCGAACGGGGGGGUAACACGUGAGUGAUCUGCCCCCAACUUGGGUAUAAGCCUGGGAAACUAGGUCUACUUCCCGAUAGGACUGCAGGGUGGUGCCUGUGCUUGAAAACGAUCUUCUAGUGGUUGGGGAUGAGCUCUCUGCCUAUCAGCUUGUUGGUGGGGUAAUGGCCGACCACGGCGGCGACGGGUAGCCGUCCUGAGAGGGUGGACGGCCACAUUGGGACUGCGAUACGGGCCAGACUCCUACGGGAGGCAGCAGUGGGGAAGAUUGCACCAGGGGCGGAAGCCUGAUGCAGCGACGCCGCGUGGGGGAUGACGGCAUUCGGGUUGUAAACUCCUUUCGACCGCGAGGAAGCCACCUGGUUGGAAGGGUGGUGACGGUAGUGGUAGAAGAAGCACCGGCUAACUACGUG